rnacentral:rRNA from 1 species
UGAACGCUGGCGGCAGGCCUAACACAUGCAAGUCGAACGGUAACAGGAAGCAGCUUGCUGCUUCGCUGACGAGUGGCGGACGGGUGAGUAAUGUCUGGGAAACUGCCUGAUGGAGGGGGAUAACUACUGGAAACGGUAGCUAAUACCGCAUAACGUCGCAAGACCAAAGAGGGGGACCUUCGGGCCUCUUGCCAUCGGAUGUGCCCAGAUGGGAUUAGCUAGUAGGUGGGGUAACGGCUCACCUAGGCGACGAUCCCUAGCUGGUCUGAGAGGAUGACCAGCCACACUGGAACUGAGACACGGUCCAGACUCCUACGGGAGGCAGCAGUGGGGAAUAUUGCACAAUGGGCGCAAGCCUGAUGCAGCCAUGCCGCGUGUAUGAAGAAGGCCUUCGGGUUGUAAAGUACUUUCAGCGGGGAGGAAGGCGAUAAGGUUAAUAACCUUGUCGAUUGACGUUACCCGCAGAAGAAGCACCGGCUAACUCCGUGCCAGCAGCCGCGGUAAUACGGAGGGUGCAAGCGUUAAUCGGAAUUACUGGGCGUAAAGCGCACGCAGGCGGUCUGUCAAGUCGGAUGUGAAAUCCCCGGGCUCAACCUGGGAACUGCAUUUCGAAACUGGCAGGCUAGAGUCUUGUAGAGGGGGGUAGAAUUCCGGUGUAGCGGUGAAAUGCGUAGAGAUCUGGAGGAAUACCGGUGGCGAAGGCGGCCCCCUGGACAAAGACUGACGCUCAGGUGCGAAAGCGUGGGGAGCAAACAGGAUAGAUACCCUGGUAGUCCACGCCGUAAACGAUGUCGACUUGGAGGUUGUGCCCCUGAGGCGUGGCUUCCGGAGCUAACGCGUUAAGUCGACCGCCUGGGGAGUACGGCCGCAAGGUUAAAACUCAAAUGAAUUGACGGGGGCCCGCACAAGCGGUGGAGCAUGUGGUUUAAUUCGAUGCAACGCGAAGAACCUUACCUACUCUUGACAUCCAGAGAACUUUCCAGAGAUGGAUUGGUGCCUUCGGGAACUCUGAGACAGGUGCUGCAUGGCUGUCGUCAGCUCGUGUUGUGAAAUGUUGGGUUAAGUCCCGCAACGAGCGCAACCCUUAUCCUUUGUUGCCAGCGGUUAGGCCGGGAACUCAAAGGAGACUGCCAGUGAUAAACUGGAGGAAGGUGGGGAUGACGUCAAGUCAUCAUGGCCCUUACGAGUAGGGCUACACACGUGCUACAAUGGCGCAUACAAAGAGAAGCGACCUCGCGAGAGCAAGCGGACCUCAUAAAGUGCGUCGUAGUCCGGAUUGGAGUCUGCAACUCGACUCCAUGAAGUCGGAAUCGCUAGUAAUCGUGGAUCAGAAUGCCACGGUGAAUACGUUCCCGGGCCUUGUACACACCGCC